AUUGAACGCUGGCGGCAUGCCUUACACAUGCAAGUCGAACGGCAGCAUGGGUGCUUGCACCUGGUGGCGAGUGGCGAACGGGUGAGUAAUACAUCGGAACGUACCUUAUCGUGGGGGAUAACGCAGCGAAAGCUGUGCUAAUACCGCAUACGCCCUGAGGGGGAAAGCGGGGGAUCGAAAGACCUCGCGCGAUUAGAGCGGCCGAUGCCUGAUUAGCUUGUUGGUGGGGUAAAAGCCCACCAAGGCGACGAUCAGUAGCUGGUCCGAGAGGACGAUCAGCCACACUGGGACUGAGACACGGCCCAGACUCCUACGGGAGGCAGCAGUGGGGAAUUUUGGACAAUGGGGGCAACCCUGAUCCAGCAAUGCCGCGUGAGUGAAGAAGGCCUUCGGGUUGUAAAGCUCUUUUGUCAGGGAAGAAACACCGGCUCUAACACAGUCCGGGAAUGACGGUACCUGAAGAAUAAGCACCGGCUAACUACGUGCCAGCAGCCGCCGUAA
rnacentral:rRNA from 1 species